UACGGGGGGGGGCAAGCGUUGUUCGGAAUUACUGGGCGUAAAGGGCGCGUAGGCGGCCUGCUAAGUCGGACGUGAAAUCCCUCGGCUCAACCGAGGAACUGCGUCCGAUACUGGUGGGCUUGAAUCCGGGAGAGGGAUGUGGAAUUCCAGGUGUAGCGGUGAAAUGCGUAGAUAUCUGGAGGAACACCGGUGGCGAAGGCGGCAUCCUGGACCGGUAUUGACGCUGAGGCGCGACAGCGUGGGGAGCAAACGGG
rnacentral:rRNA from 1 species